ensembl:lncRNA
GGCGCCGUGGUCCGGGCUGGUGUAGUCGUGGGUGGCGGGGUCUCGGUUGUGUGGCUCCAGCUCCUGGCUGUCCUUCGCAGCACGGCGGAACAGGCCUGCGUCGUGCCUGGCCGGAGUCAGCCCUGCAGUCUCACAACCCUGACCAGCUGUGGAAGUUUUGAUUUUUCUCGGGUUCCCCCCACGACAUCUAAAGUCCCUCUUUUCCCUUAAGGUUGUGUGGCUGAACACCGACUCUGUUUGAUCAGCUCCACCUUGGGCUCACAGUGCUACUGCUUCCCUGUUCUGGGUGGCUGAACUUUAGCCCGCUCACAAGGAAUAAACACCAGCCAGUCUCAUGGUUCCUUCUCAGGUCGGAAAAUAUUAUUCACUGUCUCAGCCACCCAACACAGGCCAAGCCAGGAGAUCUGGAUUGUUCAGGCAACACUUAAUCAGCACCGUCCCUUGUUCCGAUAACUUCCCAGGAGAGGACCAGCCACCAUCUUCAUGAGCUUUGUCCACUAUUCCUCUUCUGGCCUGCAGCCACGCUUGUCUGAGGAUGUGUCUACACCAACUUCUAUUUUCAAUUGGCUGCAACGGUGCUGUUUUGUCCCCAAGUGUCCUCUGUGCUCAGCAUGGUGUCCCGGGACUGGGCCCAGGAUGGGGCAAGGAAGAGCAUGUGGGCUCACCUCUGGGGAAGGCCGGAACCCUGCAGGGAAAGGAGGGAAUGGAAAACCCCAUCUCCCAAAUGACAAGUAUCUACAGAGCAAGAAUCAAAGAGAACAAGUUGCACACUAGAAGGAAAGAUCUUCUACAACUAAAGACGAAACGACAGAAUCACAACGAGAUGGGUAGAAGAGGCAGACACAGUACAGUCAAGACUCAUUUUCCAAGUAGGCGACUAACAAACAGAAGGAUAAUCACAGUUGCCGAGGUACUCCCCCAGGAGGGAGGGAUCUAAACCCCACAUCAGAAUCCCCAGCCCUGAGGUCCUGCACUGGGAAGAUUGGCCCCCAGAACCUCCAGCUUUGCAAACCAGUGCGGCUUGUAAACAGGAAAAAAGAAAGGCUGUAGGAAACAAAGCUUGGUGUUAAAGGGUACACACAAAAUCAUAUAUACUUCAGGACCAAGUGUUAACAUCUUACACAACCAUGGUAUGUUUAUCAGGAUGAAGAAAUUAACACUGGCACAUCACUAUUAAUUAACCUCACUCUCUAUUCAGACUUCCCCAUAGUGCUCUUUUUCUAUUCUGGAACCGAAGCCAGAAUACAACAUUCAGGGGAUUUUGUUUAAUAGAAGGAAAAGACUUGGGUCUGUAUGAGGCAGUGCAAGAGUAAAUAAAAGUGAAUAAAGGGGG